UGAGGAAUAUUGGUCAAUGGGCGAGAGCCUGAACCAGCCAAGUAGCGUGAAGGAUGAAGGUCCUACGGAUUGUAAACUUCUUUUAUACGGGAAUAAAGUAUCCUACGUGUAGGAUUUUGUAUGUACCGUAUGAAUAAGCAUCGGCUAACUCCGUGCCAGCAGCCGCGGUAAUACGGAGGAUGCGAGCGUUAUCCGGAUUUAUUGGGUUUAAAGGGAGCGCAGACGGGAGAUUAAGUCAGUUGUGAAAGUUUGCGGCUCAACCGUAAAAUUGCAGUUGAUACUGGUUUCCCUGAGUGCAGUUGAGGCAGGCGGAAUUCGUGGUGUAGCGGUGAAAUGCUUAGAUAUCACGAAGAACCCCGAUUGCGAAGGCAGCUUGCUAAACUGUAACUGACGUUCAUGCUCGAAAGUGUGGGUAUCAAACAGGAUUAGAUACCCUGGUAGUCCACACGGUAAACGAUGGAUACUCGCUGUUUGCGAUAUACAGUAAGCGGCCAAGCGAAAGCGUUAAGUAUUCCACCUGGGGAGUACGCCGGCAACGGUGAAACUCAAAGGAAUUGACGGGGGCCCGCACAAGCGGAGGAACAUGUGGUUUAAUUCGAUGAUACGCGAGGAACCUUACCCGGGCUUGAAUUGCAACUGAAUGAUGUGGAGACAUGUCAGCCGCAAGGCAGUUGUGAAGGUGCUGCAUGGUUGUCGUCAGCUCGUGCCGUGAGGUGUCGGCUUAAGUGCCAUAACGAGCGCAACCCUUAUCGAUAGUUACCAUCAGGUUAUGCUGGGGACUCUGUCGAGACUGCCGUCGUAAGAUGUGAGGAAGGUGGGGAUGACGUCAAAUCAGCACGGCCCUUACGUCCGGGGCUACACACGUGUUACAAUGGGGGGUACAGAAGGCAGCUACACGGUGACGUGAUGCUAAUCCCUAAAGCCUCUCUCAGUUCGGAUUGGAGUCUGCAACCCGACUCCAUGAAGCUGGAUUCGCUAGUAAUCGCGCAUCAGCCACGGCGCGGUGAAUACGUUCCC
rnacentral:rRNA from 1 species